AAGGGAAUAAUUUAAAAUAAAAUGUUAGGCUUCAAACUUAAAAAUAGGCUUGCUUUUCUCUUG
rnacentral:tRNA from 1 species